GACGAACCGUGCGAACGUUAUUCGGAAUCACUGGGCUUAAAGCGCGUGUAGGCGGGUCGGCACGUCGGGAGCUGAAAUCCCCCGGCUCAACCGGGGAAGGGGCGCCGAUACGACCGGCCUGGAGGGACGUAGGGGGGGCUGGAACUUCCGGUGGAGCGGUGAAAUGCGUUGAGAUCGGAAGGAACGCCCGUGGCGAAAGCGAGCCCCUGGACGUCUACUGACGCUGAGACGCGAAAGCCAGGGGAGAGAACGGG
rnacentral:rRNA from 1 species